AUCCAAGUCACAGCUCCCAGGGGCUCCUUCAAAACAUCCUCGUGGGCCUUGCUUCAAAUGCCAAAAGCAUAGCCACUAGGCCAAGGAGUGCCUGCAGCCUGGGAUUCCUCCUAGGAUGUGCCCUGUCUGUGCGGGCCCCCACUGGAGGUCAGACUGUCUGACUCACAUCGCCGCCACUCCUAAAGCCCCUGGAGCCCAAACCCAACGUUCCUUGGCUGACUCCUUCCCAGAUCUCCUUGGCUUUGUGGCUGAAGACUGACGCUGCCCGAUCGCCUUGGAAGCCCCCUGGACCAUCACGGACACCGAGCUUCAGGAUGGGCUGCUGUUGACCUCGCUGCUGACCUUGCUGCUGACCUCACUGCUGACCUUGCUGCUGACUUCACCGUUUCUCCCAAUAUAUGUCAGCUGAGUGGACUUUUGGCUGCCGGACAUGAAGAAAUCAUAUAAUCAAUUAAGCAAUCAAUCAACAAAUAUAUAGUGGACUUCUGCAAUUUGCAAGGCUCUGUGGCAAAUUGUACAAGGGGAAAAGUGUUUGUGGCCCACAGAAAUCAUGCUGCAGCCCUGGGUGAUAUGCUGAGACAUCUGGGGGAGGAAAUGACUAGGCAUAAGUAAAACAGGGAACUACUAAAAUCCUUAUGCAUGCAGGCUUUGACUAAGUUUGUGACCAUGACAGUGUAAAAUGAAAGCCAAAAGCACUGCAAAUAAAAAGCGUAGAAAAGUUAACUGCCUCUGUAUGUAUGGGCGUUUGGUGGAAUGUGAGAUUAUGAGUUACAUCUGGGGACACAAAAUGUAAAUUUGAUUCAAGAUAGUGGGCAACUAUAUGCAUUUACUUUCUUUGCAUUUCAAUGAGGCAGGCAGUUAGCAAAUGGGCAUGAUUAUUUGCAGGCGGCUAAAAGCAAUACAAGUGGGCCUAGACAGGUUAGCAUAAGGACCCAUCUCCCCAGUAGGAAGAAACUGUUACAACAGACUAUAACAAUGAAGAGAUUGCAGACAUCCUGCUUUAGGCACAGAUAAGAAUAUAACAGGCCGGGCGCGGUGGCUCACGCCUGCAAUCCCAGCACUUUGAGAGGCCGAGGCGGGCGGAUCACGAG
rnacentral:lncRNA from 10 species